CGUAAAGACGUCGUCAAACAUUGUGCCCACUGGGCAAUUCCUAUUGAAGUUGGAAGGCAUCUAAUUUUUCCAUAUCCCGUGGAAUUUGUUUCCUACUAGAAGGAGGUUGUAACUAAAUCCGAGGACACCCCUUGAUUUUUAUGAGCCUUUCCCAGGCUUGUAAUCCACCAAUUCAAAUAAUUUCUGCUCUACAAAUUUUGCAACUCUACUAAAAUCAGAGUUGAUCCAAUAACAAUGAUACUGACCUGACUUCAAGCUGCAGCUAUCCCACCGCUGUUACCAAUUGUUAUGUACCAAUUUCCACUAGUGCUGAAUUUAUUCCAAUAAAUUCAUCGGUGAUUAGACGAAA